UACGUAGGCGGCAAGCGUUGUCCGGAUUUAUUGGGUUUAAAGGGUGCGUAGGCGGCUUUGUAAGUCAGUGGUGAAAUAUGGCAGCUCAACUGUCAGGGUGCCAUUGAUACUGCGGAGCUUGAGUACAGAUGAGGUAGGCGGAAUUGACGGUGUAGCGGUGAAAUGCUUAGAUAUCGUCAAGAACACCGAUAGCGAAGGCAGCUUACUGGGCUGUAACUGACGCUGAGGCACGAAAGUGUGGGGAUCAAACAGG
rnacentral:rRNA from 1 species